rnacentral:rRNA from 1 species
UACGGAGGUGGCAAGCGUUGCUCGGAAUCACUGGGCGUAAAGGGCGCGUAGGCGGGGAGGUAAGUCGGGUGUGAAAUCCCUCGGCCCAACCGAGGAACUGCGCCCGAGACUGCUUCUCUUGAGUCCCGGAGAGGAAGAUGGGAUUCCCGGUGUAGUGGUGAAAUGCGUAGAUAUCGGGAGGAACACCAGUGGCGAAGGCGGGUCUCUGGACAGUUCCUGACACUGAGGCACGAAGGCCAGGGGAGCAAACGGG